AUUGAACGCUGGCGGCAUGCUUUACACAUGCAAGUCGGACGGCAGCACAGAGAAGCUUGCUUCUUGGGUGGCGAGUGGCGAACGGGUGAGUAACAUAUCGGAACGUACCGAGCAGUGGGGGAUAACUAAUCGAAAGAUUAGCUAAUACCGCAUAUCUUCUGAGGAAGAAAGCAGGGGACCAUUUGGCCUUGCGCUGUUUGAGCGGCCGAUAUCUGAUUAGCUAGUUGGUGGGGUAAAGGCCUACCAAGGCGACGAUCAGUAGCGGGUCUGAGAGGAUGAUCCGCCACACUGGGACUGAGACACGGCCCAGACUCCUACGGGAGGCAGCAGUGGGGAAUUUUGGACAAUGGGCGCAAGCCUGAUCCAGCCAUGCCGCGUGUCUGAAGAAGGCCUUCGGGUUGUAAAGGACUUUUGUCAGGGAAGAAAAGGGCGGGGUUAAUACCCCUGUCUGAUGACG
rnacentral:rRNA from 1 species